AUCUAUGGCCAUAUCACCCUGAUCCUGAAACCUAAGCAGAGUCAUGCCCAGCCAGGACUUGGAUGACAGAUCUCCUGGGAAUACUGGAAGUGGUGGGCU
ensembl:rRNA 5S_rRNA 5S ribosomal RNA